rnacentral:rRNA from 1 species
GAUGAACGCUGGCGGCGUGCUUAACACAUGCAAGUCGAACGGAAAGGCCCAAGCUUGCUUGGGUACUCGAGUGGCGAACGGGUGAGUAACACGUGGGUGAUCUGCCCUGCACUUCGGGAUAAGCCUGGGAAACUGGGUCUAAUACUGGAUAGGACCACUUCUUGGAUGGUGUGGUGGAAAGUUUUUUCGGUGUGGGAUGAGCUCGCGGCCUAUCAGCUUGUUGGUGGGGUAAUGGCCUACCAAGGCGUCGACGGGUAGCCGGCCUGAGAGGGUGUACGGCCACAUUGGGACUGAGAUACGGCCCAGACUCCUACGGGAGGCAGCAGUGGGGAAUAUUGCACAAGGGGCGCAAGCCUGAUGCAGCGACGCCGCGUGGGGGAUGACGGCCUUCGGGUUGUAAACUCCUUUCGCUAGGGACGAAGCGUUUUUGUGACGGUACCUGGAGAAGAAGCACCGGCUAACUACGUG